UUCUUUCCUCAAUAAAAGUCACGCCUCUUCCGCCCUUAUCAGUCUUCUCAUCCGCCCUCCUCCACCAUUAAUGCAGGCGUAUAGAACAACAUUUGUGGUCUUAUAUUUUCUACUACUAAUGACUUAGACAUGACAAUGGAGCUAGCUGUUGCAUACCCUGACCCGAUCCAAUGAAUUUUCGGCGAUGGUCCACCCAUUUGGUUUGAUUUUGUGAGUCGCUGGUCGCCGAAUUUUAUGGAGGAAGACAUGAAGUUGGAGAGAGAGAAAACAAGAUUAAUUCUGAAAACACUGUAGCUUCUGAGUUCUGAGGCUUAUUUGUAAAAAGCAAGCAGACUUUGAAAAGAGUUUGAUAUUUUCAGUAGGUUAAAAGGCAGACUUUGUUUGAUAAUUUUUUC
rnacentral:lncRNA from 1 species